rnacentral:rRNA from 1 species
AUACGGAGGAUCCGAGCGUUAUCCGGAUUUAUUGGGUUUAAAGGGUGCGCAGGCGGCCAUUUAAGUCAGCGGUUAAAUCGUGGGGCUCAACCCCAUUCUGCCGUUGAUACUGGGUGGCUUGAUUGCGGUCGAGGUUGGCGGAAUUCGCUGUGUAGCGGUGAAAUGCAUAGAUAUGACGAAGAACACCGAUUGCGUAGGCAGCUGACCAGACCGCAAAUGACGCUCAUGCACGAAAGUGCGGGGAUCGAACAGGAUUAGAUACCCUGGUAGUCCGCACAGUAAACGAUGAAUACUUGUUUUCGGCGAUAUAAUGUCGGAGGCAAAGCGAAAGCGAUAAGUAUUCCACCUGGGGAGUACGCCGGCAACGGUGAAACUUAAAGGAAUUGACGGGG